rnacentral:rRNA from 1 species
CAUGCAGUCGNNCGCCCUCUUCGGAGGGAGUGGCAGACGGGUGAGUAACACGUGGGAAUCUACCUAUCUCUGCGGAACAACACAUAGAAAUGUGUGCUAAUACCGCAUACGCCCUUCGGGGGAAAGAUUUAUCGGAGAUAGAUGAGCCCGCGUUUGAUUAGCUAGUUGGUGAGGUAAUGGCUCACCAAGGCGACGAUCAAUAGCUGGUCUGAGAGGAUGAUCAGCCACACUGGGACUGAGACACGGCCCAGACUCCUACGGGAGGCAGCAGUGGGGAAUAUUGGACAAUGGGCGCAAGCCUGAUCCAGCCAUGCCGCGUGAGUGAUGAAGGCCCUAGGGUUGUAAAGCUCUUUCAACGGUGAAGAUAAUGACGGUAACCGUAGAAGAAGCCCCGGCUAACUUCGUGCCAGCAGCCGCGGUAAUACGAAGGGGGCUAGCGUUGUUCGGAAUAACUGGGCGUAAAGCGCACGUAGGCGGAUUGGAAAGUUAGAGGUGAAAUCCCAGGGCUCAACCCUGGAACUGCCUUUAAAACUAUCAGUCUAGAGGUCGAGAGAGGUGAGUGGAAUUCCGAGUGUAGAGGUGAAAUUCGUAGAUAUUCGGAGGAACACCAGUGGCGAAGGCGGCUCACUGGCUCGAUACUGACGCUGAGGUGCGAAAGUGUGGGGAGCAAACAGGAUUAGAUACCCUGGUAGUCCACACCGUAAACGAUGGAAGCUAGCUGUCAGAAUGUAUACNUUUUGGUGGCGCAGCUAACGCAUUAAGCUUCCCGCCUGGGGAGUANNGUCGCAAGAUUAAAACUCAAAGGAAUUGANGGGGCCCGCACAAGCGGUGGAGCAUGUG